rnacentral:tRNA from 1 species
GCGCCCGUACUCCAGCUGGCUAGAGAGAUGCGGUUUAGGUCCGCAGUGUCGUGGGUUCGAGUCCCACCGGGCGUAC